AUGGGGUUCUUCUCCAGCAAGAACAAGGGGAAGGCCCCCGCUGGCCCUGCACGCGCUCCCCUCGCCUCCACCGGUGUCUUCCCGCCGGCCACGGCAGCGCAUCAGCGUCCCAGUGCAUCAGGCGAAGUGGCACUGGGAGCACCGCGUCCCCCUCCCCUACCCCGACGUCACGCUGCCGCAAGACUAGCACUUGGAUCCCGAGAGGAUCCUAGUGCCGGUAGGGGCGCGGUCAGUGCGGCGCACGCGGAGCAGGUGCAACGCCGGCAGCAGCAGCUCACACUAGAGCAGCGCCUCAAUCCGGUCUACGCAUCAGACUCUCCCGAGUGGGAGGUCUGGUUCGCGUUGGAGCACGAGGAGCAGUGCCGGCGUGGCGUCCACGACGUGGAGGCCGGCACCCCGCCUCCCCUCGUCGUGCACGACUAG
rnacentral:rRNA from 1 species